AUUGAACGCUGGCGGCAGGCCUAACACAUGCAAGUCGAACGAGUGGCGGACGGGUGGGUAAUGUCUGGGAAACUGCCUGAUGGAGGGGGAUAACUACUGGAAACGUUAGCUAAUACCGCAUACCAUCGGAUGUGCCCAGAUGGGAUUAGCUAGUAGGGGUUGUAAAGGCUAACCUAGGCGACGCUCCCUAGCUGGUCUGAGAGGAGGACCAGCCACACUGGAACUGAGACACGGUCCAGACUCCUACGGGAGGCAGCAGUGGGGAAUAUUGCACAAUGGGCGAAAGCCGGAUGCAGACAUGCCGCGUGUAUGAAGAAGGCCUUCGGGUUGUAAAGUACUGUCAGCGGGGAGGCGUUACCCGCAGAAGAAGCACCGGCUAACUCCGUGCCAGCCGCCGCGGUAAUAC
rnacentral:rRNA from 1 species